rnacentral:rRNA from 1 species
AAUCAACGCUGGCGGCAUGCCUAACACAUGCAAGUCGAACGGGUGUAGCAAUACAUCAGUGGCGCACGGGAUAGUAACGCGUGGGAAUCUGCCUCGUAGUUCGGAAUAACACCGGGAAACUGGUGCUAAUACCGAAUACGCCCUUCGGGGGAAAGUUUUUCGCUAUGAGAGGAGCCCGCGUUGGAUUAGCUAGUUGGUGAGGUAACGGCUCACCAAGGCGACGAUCCAUAGCUGGUCUGAGAGGACGAUCAGCAUCACUGGGACUGAGACACGGCCCAGACUCCUACGGGAGGCAGCAGUGGGGAAUAUUGGACAAUGGGGGAAACCCUGAUCCAGCAAUGCCGCGUGAGUGAUGAAGGUCUUCGGAUUGUAAAGCUCUUUUGGCAGGGACGAUGAUGACGGUACCUGCAGAAUAAGCUCCGGCUAACUUCGUGCCAGCAGCCGCCGUAAUAC